GAUGAAGAACGUAGCGAAAUGCGAUACUUGGUGUGAAUUGCAGAAUCCCGUGAACCAUCGAGUCUUUGAACGCAAGUUGCGCCUCAAGCCAUUAGGUUGAGGGCACGUCUGCCUGGGCGUCACAUAUCGUUGCCUGAUGCCAGUUUCCUCGUGAUGGGUGACUGAGCAGGGCGAAUGAUGGCUUCCCGUGAGCAUUGUUGCCUCAUGGUUGGUUGAAAAUUGAGUCCUUGGUAGGGAGCGCCGUGAUAGAUGGUGGUUGAGUGACGAACGAGACCCAAUCAUGUGAGACCCCUACCGAAUUUGGCCUUCAUGACCCACAUGCGUCUUUGGAACGCUCAUGACGAGACCUCAGGUCAGGCGGGGCUACCCGCUGAGUUUAAGCAUAUCAAUAAGCGGAGGA
rnacentral:misc_RNA from 1 species